rnacentral:lncRNA from 7 species
GCAACGACUGCCAAAAGCCUCUCCCACUUCCAAUCCAGGAGGGAGAAGUAUUGGAACGAACGAUAGCAGCACCUGCAAAUUAAAACACGGGCACAAUGGUCAAGCAAGGCCAGGAGGAAUCAAGGGCUGCUGACUGUUUUCCACGUGGACAGCUGCACAGAGAUGCCGGCUGCCUUUGCAGCUUUGCAAGUAUCAGUAGAUUGUAGAGCCCUGUGCUGACACCAAAAGGCUCCCAGUGUGAUAACACUCAAUUCUCUUAAUUAUAAUGCCUUUCCAUGUACGACAACAAUAGAUGUGAAGGAUACGUGUUUUUUUGUUUUGUUUUUUGUUUUUAUGAUCCCAGUAUUGGCUAUGUAUAGGAGAGAUUUGCUUCUGUCUGGCAGGGACGCUGGUGGACAUUUGCCACAGAUUUGAAACACAGCCCUGCUUUAAUCAAGCUGUGUUCUCUGAAAAACACGAAGCAGUAAAAUUACCACAGGAGGUCACUGUUGUGACACGUAUGCCACAUCUAUAUGACAGUGCUGAGGACCAACAUUCCCCUUUUGAAUAGUGCUUCGUAUGCCUGUUCCUGCUGCUUCAGAAGUCACAGUCACAGACAUCUUGUAUGGUAAAAAGGACAUGAGGAAGAGAUUUGAGCUCUUCAUCUGAAAAACUUACACCACAGCACAAAGAGUGCACUGAAAAGAACAAAUAUACUUGUUGUACCUCACAGGACACCUAAGAGUCAAAUUAGAAAGAAAGGAAAACUUCCCUGAGAUUAUGUUAGCACAGUUAUACAGACAAAAUUCUACUAACACGUUCUGUUUUUGAUGGAAACUAUCAAUUCUCAUAAAAAUCCUUUCUC